rnacentral:rRNA from 1 species
UACGGAGGGAGCAAGCGUUGUUCGGAUUUACUGGGCGUAAAGGGCGCGUAGGCGGCCAGCACAAGUCAGUUGUGAAAUCUCCGGGCUUAACUCGGAAAGGUCAACUGAUACUGUGCGGCUAGAGUGCAGAAGGGGCAACUGGAAUUCUCGGUGUAGCGGUGAAAUGCGUAGAUAUCGAGAGGAACACCUGCGGCGAAGGCGGGUUGCUGGGCUGACACUGACGCUGAUGCGCGAAAGCCAGGGGAGCGAACGGG